UUUUUUUUUUUUUUUUUUUUUUUGUCAUUUCUCUCCCAUUUAGAGAGUUUACAAAGACAGUUUCCAAAUUCAUGAUGUUUCCAGAUGGUCUCUCUGUGCUUGCAGUUGCUCUAUGGCCAUUUGCUGUUCAAAAUAAAUAGUAAACGACUAUGAGGAAGAUUAUUACUAUUUUUUUCUGACUAGCCUGGAACUCACUGUGUAGAACUAGGUGUCUUCAAACUCCUAAAGGUCUGCCUGCCUCUGCCUCUUGAGUGCUGGGAUUAAAAGUGUGCACCACCAUAGACUGACUUUAUUCUUCUCACCACCAGAAUGAAUGAUGAAAUGCCUCACACGGAACAGGUGUUGUUUGCUAAGUUUUUCCACACAGGUCAGUUUAUCUAUUCAUCUUGGUGAUGGCAAUAAUAAUGCUGGCAUUGCUGGGUAAUACUUUCUGGGUUGGUACUAGCAAUUUGUCAACAUCAUUAUAAUUUAUACAAAAUUUUCAUUUAUUUUUCCCCCAACAAUGUUAUGAACUCUGCUUUGAAGGUAAUGCUACGAUACUGCAUCUUUGUUUAGAUUGGUAAAUAGAUGUCAUUAUGUAAUCAUUGGCUCCAACAUCAAAGUCAAGGUGGGAAAGAAACCCAAGUGGCAGCUGAUCCAGUCAGGCAUUUCUCUGCACAUUUGUACUUAGGACAGCUUUAAUAGUGCUAAAACUUUUAAAUCAUCGUUGGAUUGCAAGCAGCAUUAUUUUGCCAUUGACCCUUCAUCUCUCAUUCUCUUCAAAGCUGUAGGUUGCUAGGCAACUGGAGAUGAGAGUCCUCUAAACUUGUGUUACUAUUAUACAACUGCAGUCCCAGUGCAUACAGAGGGGGAAAAAAAUCAACAAAGAUAAAAUCAGGCCCUAGAAUGAUUAUAAUAAUUCAGUAAUUAUCUGGAUUGCAUCCUCAAGAACCACAUUCGUUCCUAAGCAUACGCUGUCUCUUUAUUUUUACUAGGUCAUGAGAGCAGCUUUCAUCUCAAUUAUCUGUAACUAUGGAUUCUCAUUAUAAUUCUUCAAAAAAAGUGAAUUAUUUUAAAUUAGUUUCAGUUGGAAAACAGUCCAUGCCGCUGUGUGGUUUGUGGUAAGCCAUGGCCCAUAAUAACUAGGUCAUAUUCAUGAAGACGAGAUUUGCUAGGAAGUUCAACUGCAGAAUGGAUCUGAGUGUGCACACCCUGACACUCUGGGUGACUGCAGGCAGAACUGCAGACUGCUCCCCCCGACCCCUGCCUUGAUUUUCUCCUCUGUAGAAUGGAGCUGCAGUGGUUUUAGAAGAAGCUGCUGUAGUCGGUGUGACCAGAAAAGCUAUCUGUGGCUAGAUGAUGGGAGCUUUAUUUCUUAGGGUCACACAUUGUAUUUCAUUGUGAAGACACUGGAUAGUUUUGGAACAUUCCAGAGACACAUGUGGGUUCUGGGCUCACUGACCACAGUAACACAAAACCAACAAUCAUUUUGUUUAUUCACAAAUGGGCCUAUAAUUUGGCAGGGCUGAAAGGGGCAUCUGGUGUUGGGUGGGAAGGCAUGACUGGGCUUAAGCAGCACCUUCCAGGCUGGCGACUGGAAUGAAAGAAAGGCUGGUGCUAGCUUCUGGCUGGAAGUUCGGCUAGGGCUGCAAGCCAGGCCCUCUGCCUCUGUCACGUGACUUCUUCACUGUGUCAGGGCUUCUUAGGAAGGGUGGACUCACAGUAGGUGUACUUUCCACAGAGCGAUUAGUUUCCCACAGAGGAAAAAAAAAGAUCUCAUUAGACACCUUUAGGGAUUCUUAAAGUUGAAGCCUAGUGGUGACACACACUGUCACUUCAGAGUCCCAGUCAAUGUUCAAGAGGAAGGGUCUACACAAGGGCCCGAGGAUGCAAGGUGUGGUCCCCAGGAGCCUUCGGUGCACUUUCUCAUGUUGUUUGCUAUGGGACAUAUUUGCCUCGUUUACUCCUCUCACGGCUGUGAAGACAUGCCUAGGAGAGUGACUUUGGCUGGGGCAGUGAGAGCAUGGAGCAGCUGCUUACAUCUUGUUGGGAGUUAGGAUGCAGAGAGCCUAGGCCGGAUAGAUUGUUCUUUAACCCAUGAGCCCUGUACCUAUGGAUUAUACCUGCCAAUGAGGAUCUGUAUCAGAAAGGUUCUACAGCCCCUCCAAACUAUAUCACCAUCUGGGGGGCCAAGUGUUCAAACACAUGAGCCACUGGGGGGCAUCUCAUGUUUAUGCCAUAACUAUGUCUCAUGUCUUUCUAGCAUUCUCUUCUGGUUUUGCUCUGUCAAUCACUCCCUCUUUUGCUGGGACCCUCUAGAUUAUGCAAAUAUAGUUGUACCGUCUAUGGGCACUAAACUAUGUUGAUACACUCCAGAGAGAGAGAGGGAGAGAGGGAGAGAGAGACAGACAGACAGACCUGGGUCUAGAUCAGUGGUACUGAAGUGCAGUGCUCCAAACCUUAUAGAACAGGUACCUCAUGGUUGAAGGAUGCUGGUUUCACUUUUUGUGUGUAUAUGAGAUGUGUGUGUGCAUGUAGAGGCCAGAAUACAACUUUGGGUGUUGUUUCUCAGGUGCCAGCCAUCUUUUUCUUUCUCUCUCAUUGGCCUGUGACUCACUGAUAUCUCUGGCUGGCUGGUGAGAGGUCCCUAGGAAUUUGCCUGUCUCUACCUCUCCAGAACUGGCUACAAUACCAGAUGUAGGUUUUGUGGACUUGACCUGAAGUCCUUAAGCUCAUAGAGUAAAUUCUUUCCUGCCUAAGGUAUCUCCCAGGCUCAAUCUCACUUAUUUUUGAGACAGGAUACUUUUGGGUGGUCAGGAACUCACUAUAAAGACCAGGCUGGCCAGAAAACAUAGAGAUCCACCUGCCUCUGCCUCUGCCUCUGCCUCUGCCUCUUGAGUACUGGGGUUAAAGGUGUGCAUCACCACCAUGCUUGGCUUCUGGUCUCACUUUUGCAACACAUAAAUGGCCCAUUAGUGUAUCCUGGUGAUCUGGCUUCCUUAUCCUCAUCUGCCAAGGGUCUUUGACUAUAUCUGCCUGAGUGCAAGCUCUCUACUUAAAGAAUAUAUUUUUAUUCCCCAACAUCACUUACAGUUAAUUCUACAAUGAAAAUUUUUAUAAGGAAGAAUUAGAAAACAUUAUAACCUGGGGCCUUUCCUGCUGCAAUGUGGCUUUCCUGAAGAAUUCACUAUGUAUGUGGGCUUUCCUGCAGCUCGGUACAUUUAACCCAGCAGCAUCCUAUGGCAUCUCCAUUUCCCUGGUCCAGCUGAAUUGGACUCACUGAGAUUAGGCAGGGUGCCACUGUAGCUCUCCAAGAUCAACUAGGCUGUGGAAGGUACUGUUGCUACUGUUAUUGUAAACAAGAUCAGAACCCAAUCAGGAAGACCUCUGUGCUAGUUUCCUAGGGAUGCUUUCUCCUAUAACACUGACCAGGUGCCUAGAAACCGCAGAUAUCAAUCGCUUUUGUAGUUCUGUCUGAAAUAAAAAUGCUGGCAUGGUUGGUUCCUUCUGAGAGCUACAGGAAGACCACGCCUCACCUGCCUGCAAGUUUCUGGCCACCUCAGAGGUAUCACCUCACUCUUUACAAUCUCACGGAGUGUUUUUAUGUUGUCCUUCUUCGGUGCUUAUCUAACUUGUAUCCAGUUUUUCCUCAUUCAUGCUGGAUACAGUCUCAUUCAUCUGUAUCUCCAAAUAUGUUCAUAUGCUGAGCAAUUGGCACUUAGGACACUAACAUUGUUCGCAUGUCAGAUACCAUUCAACCAAUAACACCUUCCCAACUGUAGUCAUAUGAAAUUGAAAGGAGAUAUUUGCAGUAUUUGCCACUAUGUUGUUAAAGGAAUCUAGGAAUCACUGGACAACCUGCUUGGCAGGACACAAAGACCGCUGCCCCAGAGUCUCUUAGUAAAUGACUAAGAAGCAGCAAGUGGCUUGUAUAAUCCCGGAUGGUGUGGAUGAAGGAAGUGUAAUCAUUCUGGCUUGUAUGAGUUUUGAUAUUUGCUGGGUUGUAUAGAAAACUCAUGAAAAGGAACUCCAAUCCCACCCGCACUGCAUAAGUGCAGGGUAAACAGGAUUGUAAAUGCUGUGUUCAGGUCAACACACUCCUGGUAACAGGAGCUCUCAAGGGGAACACCAGCUAUCAGUUAACUGAGCUUCCAUAGAAAGCCAGGCUAAGUCCCCCUGCCUACACUGGUGUGAAAGUCACGGCUCUGUUUGUUUCCCUUGGUCAGGAAACAAUCAGUGUGAGGUCAAGAUACCUGCUUAUUUCUUUGAUCCUUCC
rnacentral:lncRNA from 1 species